rnacentral:rRNA from 1 species
AUUGAACGCUGGCGGAGUGCUUUACACAUGCAAGUCGAGCGGCAGCGCGGGGCAACCUGGCGGCGAGCGGCGAACGGGUGAGUAAUACAUCGGAACGUACCCAGUUGUGGGGGAUAGCCCGGCGAAAGCCGGAUUAAUACCGCAUACGACCUGAGGGCGAAAGGGGGGGAUCGCAAGACCUCUCGCAGUUGGAGCGGCCGAUGGCGGAUUAGCUAGUUGGUGAGGUAAAGGCUCACCAAGGCGACGAUCCGUAGCGGGUCUGAGAGGACGACCCGACACACUGGAACUGAGACACGGUCCAGACUCCUACGGGAGGCAGCAGUGGGGAAUUUUGGACAAUGGGGGCAACCCUGAUCCAGCCAUUCCGCGUGAGUGAAGAAGGCCUUCGGGUUGUAAAGCUCUUUCGGCAGGAACGAAACGGUGGAAGCUAAUAUCUUUUACUAAUGACGGUACCUGAAGAAGAAGCACCGGCUAACUACGUGCCAGCAGCCGCCGCAG